GAUGAACGCUGGCGGCGUGCCUAAUACAUGCAAGUCGAGCGAAUGGAUUAAGAGCUUGCUCUUAUGAAGUUAGCGGCGGACGGGCGAGUAACACGUGGGUAACCUGCCCAUAAGACUGGGAUAACUCCGGGAAACCGGGGCUAAUACCGGAUAACAUUUUGACCCCAAUGGUUCGAAAUUGUAAGGCGGCUUCGGCUGUCACUUAUGGAUUGACCCGCGUCGCAUUAGCUAGUUGGUGAGGUAACGGCUCACCAAGGCAACGAUGCGUAGCCGACCUGAGAGGGUGAUCGGCCACACUGGGACUGAGACACGGCCCAGACUCCUACGGGAGGCAGCAGUAGGGAAUCUUCCGCAAUGGACGAAAGUCUGACGGAGCAACGCCGCGUGAGUGAUGAAGGCUUUCGGGUCGUAAAACUCUGUUGUUAGGGAAGAACAAGUGCUAGUUGAAUAAGCUGGCACCUUGACGGUACCUAACCAGAAAGCCACGGCUAACUACGUGCCAGCCGCCGCAGUAA
rnacentral:rRNA from 1 species